ensembl:lncRNA
UGCAGGCUUGAUAGAAGUUCUUAGAUCUUGCAAAACAAUUCACAAGCUAAGUACAGACUAUAAGAUAAGCAGAGAAUUACUGGAAAAAUAAUAUUACUUCCUUGUCCAGGAGCUAAGCUGACAUCUACAGUAUAUCUGGUUACAUGAAACCUGUCAUACAGCAUUAUUGUUAUGCUUUAGAAAGAAUGUAUUUGCAGUAAAAGGUGUAACCGAGGUAUAUAAAGAAAUGUGUUCCUCUGCAUGACCAGACCAGCUUCCAUCAUGAAGACGCUAGUGUGUGCUCUUAUUGUGGUGCUUCUCUGCAGUGCCUCAGGUAAAAUUAAAGCUUUUUUUUCUCUCUUUCUCUUUCUCUCUCUUUCUCUCUCUCUCUCUCUCUCUCUCUCUCUCUCUAUAUAUAUAUAUAUAUAUCUUUUAUCUUCCUAUUCAAAUUAUCUAUUUAAAUAAACAGGGGUCUAAGGGUUAGAGCUUAUUGAAUCAUACAAAUUCACAAAUUAAUCACUGCAGUGCAAUUUGUGAAAUAGUUCAACUGAUUAAUUGAAAAGAAUAGACUCAAACGAAUGGUUUGUUCAUGAAUUGCAUAUUGCUAUCAUGUCUCAGAGUGGGUCAUGAUUUCAUCACUUCAAAACAAUAAGGAAAGGAAAUAAUAUGUUUUUAUGAAAUGUAGUGUAGCAAAUUGUCAAAUAUUAUGCUUUGGAAUGCAGUUAAAAGUUUUCCAAACUGCUCUGAUACAGUGCAGAUACUUUCUCCAUUGCUAUCUGUCUGUCUAAUAUGUAAUCUCCCAUUAGUGCACUCGCUGACAUGCUACACCUGUGUGGAUGGGGACUGCAAGACCCCAACAGAAUGUCCUGCCUCAAGCAAUUUCUGCAAAACAGUUUCAACAGCCACUGUGUUCAGCCGGACAUGUGAGGAGUUCUGUGUUCCGGGAGUGAACAUCUACUGCUGCACUUCUGAUCUGUGUGACUGAUCUCUCAACGUCACCAGUCCUGCUGAUCGACUGUUCUUGAGUCAGGCACUUAUGUUCAUUGCAAUAGCGUAGCAGGAAAUAUUGGGUUACUCUAGGUGUAUAAUUUUUCUAAUGACUUUCUACCAUCUGACUCAACAUGGUUUGCUUUACAUAGCACUACUUGAAGGAAUGUCUAAAGUGUAGUUUCUGUCGCAGCUCUACAUGAUUUAUGAAUUGAAUAAAAUCUACUCAGU